AAUAAACGUUGGCGGUGCGCCUUAUGCAUGCAAGUCGAACGGGGUUAUGAUCUUCGGAUUGUAACCUAGUGGCGAACGGCUGAGUAACGCGUAAGUAACCUGCCUUGGAGUGGGAAAUAACCUGCCGAAAGGUGAGCUAAUGUCCCAGUGGUAACGAGGCGAAUGCCUGGUUAUUAAAGCCUCCGGGUGCUCCGAGAGGGGCUUGCGUCUGAUUAGCUGGUUGGUGGGGUAAUGGCCUACCAAGGCGAUGAUCGGUAGCUGGUCUGAGAGGAUGAUCAGCCAGAUGGGGACUGAGACACGGCCCCAACUCCUACGGGAGGCAGCAGCAAGGAAUCUUGGGCAAUGAGCGAAAGCUUGACCCAGCGACACCGCGUGAGGGAUGAAGGCCUUCGGGUUGUAAACCUCUUUUCUUGGGGAAGAAUUCUGACGGUACCCAAGGAAUAAGCCUCGGCUAACUACGUGCCAGCAGCCGCGGUAAUACGUAGGAGGCGAACGUUAUUCGGAAUUACUGGGCGUAAAGGGAGCGUAGGCGGUUCCUUAAGUCAGAUGUGAAAUCUUCUGACUCAAUCAGAAGAGGUCAUUUGAUACUAAGGGGCUUGAGAGCAACAGAGGGAAAUGGAAUCCCCAGUGUAGCGGUGAAAUGCGUAGAUAUUGGGGAGAACACCAGUGGCGAAGGCGAUUUCCCAGGUUGUUUCUGACGCUGAGGCUCGAAAGCGUGGGGAGCGAAGCGGAUUAGAUACCCGCGUAGUCCACGCCCUAAACGGUGGACACUAGAUAUGGGAAGUAUCGACCCUUUCUGUGUCGAAGCUAACGCCUUAAGUGUCCCGCCUGGGGAGACGGCCGCAAGGCU
rnacentral:rRNA from 1 species